ACGUGUGACAUCGAAGUCUUUGAACGCAUGUUGCGCCCGAUGCCAUUAGGUUGAGGGCACGUCUGCCUGGGUGUCACAUAUCGAAGCCUCCUGCCAAUAUCCUUUUGAUAGGUAUUGUGCGGGGUGAAUGAUGGCCUCCCGUGAGCUCUUUUGUCUCAUGGUUGGUUGAAAAUUGAGACUUUGGUAGGGUGUGCCAUGAUAGAUGGUGGUUGUGUGACCCACGAGACCAAUCAUGUGCUGCUCUAUUGAAUUUGGCCUCUUUUACCCACAUGCGUUUCUAAAUGCUCGUGAUGAGACCUCAGGUCAGGCGGGGCUACCCGCUGAAUUUAAGCAUAUCAAUAAGCGGAGGAAAAGAAACUAACAAGGAUUCCCUUAGUAACGGCGAGCGAACCGGGAUAAGCCCACCAUGAGAAUCGGCCGCCCUCGGCGUUCGAAUUGUAGUUGAAAAAAACCGUCAAAAAGGG
rnacentral:rRNA from 1 species